AAUAACUCUCCAAAAGGGAUAAAACUCCCGCGUAUAUCUCUCCAGAGACCCAAAUCUCUCAAAUUGUAAUGGUACAGGUUUAGAUCUAACCUAGCAACCUCUGUUUCCUUCCAUGGUUUCUACUGUCCAAGACCUCCGAUCGAUGGUACUUGAUCGUUUUUCCCUCCUCCGGCUAGAGCAUGACCAAGGAACGACGCCUUCUAGUUUGAAGCCUACAUCGCUGGCUCUCCAUUUGAUCCACCCAUCACAAGGUACGGUACUCCAUCGAAAACCGUAUAAUUCUGAGUUGUUUUCAUGGCACUACAUGUACAGGUAUUUUUUAUUUGUGUGAUUUGGAGCAAAGGAGACAACAGUCCAUGAUAGCUCCUGGCUUCAUAUGCAAUUUCGUUCAAAUUUUUAGUCCCUGGCGAGUUUGACCAAGAUCUGAUGGAUUAGUUACUCUCUCUCUCUUAUUACACGUGCUGAUUUCUCUAUGCUGAUUUGUCACAUGCAUAUUUACUUGAACCAUUCUUACUAUUACAGUGGCACAGCUGAUCACGUAUAGUUAUCUACCGAUGCAUCUUGGCUCAUGCGAAAGAAAAUUGUUCAUCCACCAGACGGGGUUUAUUGCGAGUCCAAUACUGGCGGUGCCGAGUCCAAUACCGACUGCUCUAUUGCUUCUCAUCGCUGGCAUGUGUAUGGCACCAUGCCAGUAUGCAACAACAAUCCUGGUGUCCGUAUGAAUAACUCUUGGUAUAGGUAUAUGUUGAAUCUCCAGUCUGCACACGAUCUUUCUUGAUUAGGCAUAGCAUGCGUGCAUUGAAGAAAUAUUAAUAUAAUGUAAUAAAAGAAACAUGUGUAUAUAUACUGUUUGCAUCCGAGUUGAGGUGUUUUUGUCAUGUUUUAUUUUGCACGGUGGUCAUCGACCGGUUAUAGGUUGCUCCAGGCCUCGAAGGCCCGGCGGUACUGCUCCUCGACAUGGAGAGCUGAUGGUGCUGCUGCUCCUCGGCACGUUUGAGCGGUCUGCUAAUAGGAGGUGUGAGGCGAGCUGCAAGACUUCACGGCACCUUUGAGUGGUCUGCUAAUAGCAGGCAUGAGGCGAGCUGCAAGAUUUCAGGCACAUAAACAGCGCAAUGGCAAGAGCUAUAUAAUAUAACAUUGGUACGUAUAUAUUCUCCUUUCCAUAUGACCAUUAAUUUCUUCUGAUCGCUCAAUCUCUAGAUAUUUAUACGUUUGAUUCAUACUUUCUUUUUUCAGAUAUUCUAGACCCCGCAGGAGACAUUAUAUAUUUAAGUGGUGUACAUGUACUAUGUAUAACUACAAGAAGAUUACUAUAUUUGUGACUACACUAGAAAUUUAUAGUUGUUGCAGCACGUGGUUAGUUAACAAUAUCACGGUGGUGGUCAUCGACCAGUUAUAGGGUGCUCCAGUGCUCAAAGGCCAGGCGGUACUGUUCCUCGACAGGGAGAGCUGGUGGUGUUGCUGCUCCUCUGCACCUUGGAGCGGUCUGCUAAUAUGUGGCGUGAGUCGAGCUGCAAAACUUCAGGCACACAAACAGCACAACGGCAAGAGCUAUACAAUAUCACAUUGAUACGUAUGUAUUCUCCUUUUCGUAGGACCAUAAAUUUCUUCUGAUUGCUCAAUCUCUAGAUAUUUAUACGCUUGAUUCAUAUUUUUUCUUUUUUCAGAUAUUCUGCACCCCGCAGGAGACAUUAUAUAUUUAAGUGGUGUACAUCUACUAUAUAUACCUACAAGAAGAUUAUCUAUGUUUGCGACUCUACAAGUACUGAAAAAAAUUUGAACUAGAAAUUUAUAGGUCCUGCAGCACGUGGUUAGUUUUUUGUUUUCUACUUGCCAACACUACUUGAUGAAUUAGGAUAUUGACUAUUUACAAGGAACGAUCAGCCAGAUCAGUUAGCUUUAUCAUACUAUAUACUUGGAUCUGAUUUCUUUUUUCCAGAUUCUAUUCCUAAAUGGUUCAUGGGUACACGUCCCAUUUUCAGGUUUGUUUGCCAGAUUUGUUCUUCUCCUCAUAGUCUAUCCCCUGAAUAUUAUAAUCUAUUUUUUUAUCGGGUUUCUAAAUUGUAUGAUUGUUUUGCUUCCAGGAUUAUUCUGUCCAUGCCUUGGAUUUCACCUAGAUGGACGAGAGUCUGUUCUUCAGUUAGACGCCCAGCUGCAAGUUGUUGUUUGAUCAGUUGUGAGGUGUCUCAUAGGCACCAAAUGGAUGUUCAUAAUGUUGAUCUAUCUACAUAUCAUGUGGUGCACGGCCCAGAAAGAAGCAGUAGGGUGGUUGGUCCAAAAUUAAGCUCAUUUUUAGCAUGGGAUCACUGACGAGAUUUCUCUCUCUUGACAAGCAGCAUCAUUGCUUACACCAGGUUAGAGAAGCUUCCUUUUGAAAAUUUCGUCUUUUAGCUUUGGAAGUUUUAAAUAUUGAGAACAGUAGAUUGUGCAAUUUCCAUUUCUUCAGUAGUAGGUGACAUACAAGAACACAAUUGAUGUACUGCUUUGUUUUGUUUUACUUACUAAAAUUAUGAAGUGUUGUCCUUUCCAUUAAAAUAAUGAUAACACUUUGAGUUAUUAGUACAAUUAACCAUGGGAUCAAGACUCAAAAAGUAAAUGCUAGACCAUUUAAACUUAGCAUGCCAUGAAGUUAUUAAACAGGAAAUCAUACUUACUGAUUGUGAUAUAAAAUAGUGACUGCUACACCCACUACAAGAUAUAAUAGUUCAACACAAUGAUUGCCGAGGAGCCAACAUGGAAGGUGACUCUGUAUAAAAGGACACAAAUUUAACAUGUUCAGAUUAAUGACCCUACAAUGUCAGCACACAAGAUAGAUAGAUGAACAUUAAGAUUUCAUUCAGCCCAAAAUUUUGUUCAGUCGAACUCGCCAAAGAUGCUUGAUGUAUGUUAACCACUAGACAAAUUCUAGAUAGAAGAGUGAAGAGCCUUAGAUUUAAUUAGUAGUUUGAUCAUUUAGUAUUUCCUUUGGAUGGCGUGACGUGCUUCUGAUCAAUUAACUAUUUGGUCUUCUAACCCGCAUCUAGGGAAGAGGUGAAAAUAUCUACCAAUUUAUCAUCGAGUUUGAUUUAUCUCUUUUCUUGACUUAUCCCUUUAUUGCUUAGAUAUUGCACGAAGUAAGUAGAACGCAGUUCUGGCACAUUAGUUUCAGCAUAAAAGAAUGUACAACACAAUGGAUUUAUACUACAUUUUGUUAUUUUAGUCUUUUUUCCGAGCAAUUCGAUAUGUCUCAUUAUUUUCAUCACUAAUUACACAUGAAUGAAAGAGGAGACAAUGUCACAUGAAAAUCACUAUAAAAGGUUAUUUUGGGUGUAACUAAACAAUUAGAUGGGCCUGUGAAUCAAGAUUAGAUGGUUGUUCAAUCACUAUAUCACUACUAUCAUUUUAUGCAUACUAUCAUAAUGUGAUGACGGGAGGUGAUAAGUUUGUCAGGCUGGUGUGUGAUGACAAUGCAAUGCAGGAGUUCUUUAGCGGCGGCAAAGAGUCCAGGUGCAACAAUACUGACGCAUCAUGCAAUGCCAAGUGAACAAAUGGCGUGUCUCGAGAAAUUACGGGGACGGAUACAAGCACUACCGUUGUCCUACUAUUAAGAAGUUAUAUUGCUGUUUCUCAUCAAGACAUUGUUUAAUAAGGAAACCCAUUUGCUUAUGAAAAAUUCCAUGUGGCAACAUGGUUCAUGUAAUAUUAUUCUUGAAGCGAACUGAUUCGGCUUCAAGUGUGUAGGUUUGGUGACAUCAUCAUUUCCAUCAUUCCAGUAGGACAUGUUCUCAAAAUAUUAUGUUAUUGCAAUUGUUAGUAAAGACUG
rnacentral:lncRNA from 1 species